AAUAGAUACCCCGGUAGUCCAUGCCGUAAACGAUGUCUACUAGCCGUUGGGGCCUUUGAGGCUUUAGUGGCGCAGCUAACGCGAUAAGUAGACCGCCUGGGGAGUACGGUCGCAAGACUAAAACUCAAAUGAAUUGACGGGGGCCCGCACAAGCGGUGGAGCAUGUGGUUUAAUUCGAUGCAACGCGAAGAACCUUACCUGGUCUUGACAUAGUAAGAACUUUCCAGAGAUGGAUUGGUGCCUUCGGGAACUUACAUACAGGUGCUGCAUGGCUGUCGUCAGCUCGUGUCGUGAGAUGUUGGGUUAAGUCCCGCAACGAGCGCAACCCUUUUCCUAUUUGCCAGCGGGUUAAGCCGGGAACUUUAAGGAUACUGCCAGUGACAAACUGGAGGAAGGCGGGGACGACGUCAAGUCAUCAUGGCCCUUAGACCAGGGCUACACACGUGCUACAAUGGUCGGUACAAAGGGUUGCUACCUAGCGAUAGGAUGCUAAUCUCAAAAAGCCGAUCGUAGUCCGGAUUGGAGUCUGCAACUCGACUCC
rnacentral:rRNA from 1 species